UACGUAGGUGGCAAGCGUUGUCCGGAUUUAUUGGGUUUAAAGGGUGCGUAGGCGGCUUUGUAAGUCAGUGGUGAAAUAUGGCAGCUCAACUGUCAGGGUGCCAUUGAUACUGCGGAGCUUGAGUACAGAUGAGGUAGGCGGAAUUGACGGUGUAGCGGUGAAAUGCUUAGAUAUCGUCAAGAACACCGAUAGCGAAGGCAGCUUACUGGGCUGUAACUGACGCUGAGGCACGAAAGUGUGGGGAUCAAACAGGG
rnacentral:rRNA from 1 species